rnacentral:rRNA from 1 species
AUUGAACGCUGGCGGCAGGCCUAAUACAUGCAAGUCGAGCGAGCGGCGGACGGGUGAGUAAUGUCUGGGAAACUGCCUGCUGGCGGGGGAUAACUACUGGAAACGGUCGCUAAUACCGCAUACCAUCAGAUGUGCCUAGGUGGGAUUAGCUAGUGGGUGGGGUAAAGGCCCACCUAGGCGACGAUCCCUAGCUGGUCUGAGAGGAUGACCAGCCACACUGUAACUGAGACACGGUCCAGACUCCUACGGGAGGCAGCAGUGGGGAAUAUUGCACAAUGGGCGCAAGCCUGAUGCAGCCAUGCCGCGUGUGUGAAGAAGGCCUUCGGGUUGUAAAGCACUUUCAGCGGGGAGGCGUUACCCGCAGAAGAAGCACCGGCUAACUCCGUGCCAGCAGCCGCGGUAAUUC